CACAGCAAUGCAGGAUCCGAGCCAUGUCUGCGACCUACAACACAGUUCAUGGCCACACCAGAUCUUAAACCCACUGAUCGAGGCCAGGGAGCAAACCUGUAUCAACCAUUUCGAUCAUGUUUCUAAGUACUUUUAGGUUAUUAAUGAAUAUCUCCAUUUUUUCCAGGUUAUCCAAAGUCUAGCGUCAUCUGAUAUCAGAACACUAAGCUCUUAUCCAGUUUCUACUUCUCCUCUCCCACUGCUUGGACCUGACCCAGGCUUGAAGUUUGCAGUGGGCAAGAAGUAUGGACAGGAUUGCCAAAUAACACACAGGGUGCCCAGCUUAAUGGUGAAGAGGCAGUGUUCUGUGUGUGGCAGAAAGAAUGAAACAGACAUAUGGUUACCAGAAGCAUGGACUUUGGCAGAGAGUGGGCUCCACAAUUGAGGCUGUGACGUUGGAAGAAGCAUCUUUGUGUGGCCUGGUUGUUUUCCUGUUCCAGGCCAUAGAUAAAUCCUGCCUGUGCAGACAUGGACUGAUGGAUCCACACUAAAAGGUCUCUCCUACUGUUAAAAUAAUACCUCAGAGCACAUGUACUUGGAUGGUUUGUGGUAGUGGUGCCCUCAUAUAUAAAAGACUUUUGCAUUAUAAAAUUUUUUCAAUGAACAGUAGAUGAAUCACAGAAGUAAUUUUUUACUGAACUUGCUUCAAUAACAUCUAAGUGGGAAGUAUUUGGUUACUGUCUAUAAUAAUAAGUGUGUCUUACAAAUACUUUUUUGGAAGGCUUUAUCUCUGUCCAUCUCUCUCAUUAAAAAUACAUGCAGGAGUUCCCAUUGUGGCUCAGCAGAUUAUGGACCUGAUUCCACCCCUGGCUGGAGAACUUGCACAUGCCAUGGGCACACCCCCCAAAAAAAGGAGUUCCCUUGUUGAGCAGUUUGUUAAGGAUCUGGCACUGUCACUGCUGUGGCUCAGGUCACUUUUUAGGGCUGAACCCGUGGCAUAUGUAAGU